AUACCAAUUCCUCCACAAAGCCCACCCCAUUCCCAUUAGCUGCUGUGAAUUCACUUUCCUUUCUCGAAAGAGAGAGAGAAAAAACGGGGGAAAAUCCACGCUAGGGAUACCCUCCAGAAACCCUAACCCUAGCUCUCCAUCUAGGGCUUGAAAUCUUUAUUAGCCGCGCUGAAAUCUCUCCUUCAAGAGGAUUUUCGUAUUCGAUUGGGUGCCUGGAUUUACGAGAAAUCCUUCCUCAUCUCAGAUCGUUUCAAAGCUCUCUGAUCGUUCGAUACAUCGGAUUUCGUCCCGGAGAAAUCCAAUCUGCAAGCUUGGUCCGUAUCGGUUCGCUAAGCACUCUACCGAUGCUUGAUGUCAUAUAGGAUUUGAUUUCUCAUCUAGUGGCCUUGUCUUCAUCGGGUUGUGGAAUUCGGAUCCUGAAAGGCUGUGAUUUUCUCAUCGGAAGCUUUAUCUUCAUCAAAUCGUGGCAGAUUCCUCCUUUUUGAAGGCUUUCGAUCAAAUCGGUUUGAGAAGCAGACAUUCAAAGCACUAAUCUUGUUUGAUCUCUUAUCAAUUUGGAGUGAUUGUGUACUGGAUGUUCGACGAAAUGGGAUUUGAGGCUUUUGAAUUGUGAUGCGUACCAGAUGUUCAAUGAAAUGCCAAAGGGAGACAUGCAUGGGAUGUGUACUGGAUGUUCAACGAAAUGGGAUUUGAGGCUUUUGAAUUGUGAUGCGUAUUAGAUGCUCAAUGAAAUGUCAAAGGGAGACAUGUAUGGGAUGUGUACUGGAUGUUCAACGAAAUGGGAUUUGAGGCUUUUGAAUUUUGAUGCGUACCCGAUGUUCAAUGAAAUGCCAAAGGGAGACAUUCAUGCCAAAUGUUUGAUAUGAUAACUCAUAGAAACUUUUGAUAUGUGUGCUCAACAUGGCAAAGUAGGCAUUUUCAAUAACGAUGGGAAAAACUAAUGCAGGCUAAUGCAGGGGGUUCUGGCAUAGUUGAUGUAAGCUGAAGCAGGGGGUUCUGGCAUAGGAUGAGAAUUGGAUGGCAUUGUCAUGGAGAGCUGGAGAAUCUACACCAGGCUAUGUCAUGGGUUAUAAUGGCAGUCAAUUACGGGACACUGCUUUCACUGUUCAGGCAAUAAUCUCAACUAGCCUUCUUGAGGAAUUUGGUCCAACUCUUAAGAAAGCGCAUGAGUACAUAAAGAAUUCGCAGGUUUUGGAAGACUGCCCUGGUGAUCUUAGUUUCUGGUGUUGUCACGUUUCUAAAGGUGCAUGGCCUUUCUCAACUAGAGAUCAUGGAUGGUCCAUAUCAGAUUGCACUGCAGAAGGUUUAAAGGCUUCACUCUUGUUGUCGCAGAUUCCAUCAAAAACUGUUGGUGAACCAAUCGAUGCAAACAGAUUGUAUGACGCGGUGAAUGUCAUUCUUUGACUACAUGAAUUCAGAUGCCAAGAAGACAUGAUGUUCUGUGGUGUGUUUGAUGGCCAUGGCCCUUGGGGACACUAUGUAGCAAAAAAGGUCAGAGAAUCAUUGCCAUCGUCUCUGCUUUGCAAUUGGCAGGAGACUCUUGCUAUGAGCUCAAUUACAUCAGAAUUCCUUUUGGAAUCUAAUAAAAUGUUUAAUCGAUUUGACAUUUGGAAGGAAUCCUAUUUGAGAACUUAUUGAAAUGAGUGAUUCACUUGGGCAAAUGAAUCAUAACCUUGAAGGUUUGAAGAGUGAUCUGAAUGAAGUUACUAAGGGUAGGGAUUGCCUUGAUUCUAAGGUACUUGUCUUGAAAGAGCAGCUAGAAAUGGCACAAGCUGUUGCUGAAGAAAAUGAAGCAAUUGCUACAGAAGCUCGACAGAUGGCUGAGGCAAGGAAGAACUAUGCCGAAGAGGAGGAGGAGGUGAAGCUGUUAGAGAAGUCUGUGGAAGAGCUAGAAUAUACCAUAAAUGUAUUGGAAAAUAUGGGGGAGCUUGUCAAAGGGGAGGCUGAAAGGCAACGGUUGCAGAGAGAGGAGCUAAAAGGGGACCCUUCUGAAACAGUUCAUGUGGAAGGCUAUGUGGUAGUUCAUGUGCAAUUGUAUUUUGUUUUGAAAACUUUAAAUAGACCAUUAAUUGUUUUGUUGAUAUUGUGUUGUUUGUUGUCUUAAUGAAUGUUAAAUGGGUGAAAUAUGCAUAGGUUCAA